AGCACCUCCUCCCCCUCCUUCUUCACUGACUUGGGGGUCUGCAGGGUUGUUCCUCUUACAUGUUCUCACUCCUCUCUCCAGCUGCAGUUUCUGUGCCCACUGCAACUUUUUUCCCUUCCUAAAUCUGUUAUCACAGAGGCGCUAUCGCUGAUGGGCUCUGCUUUGGCUGGUGGCGGGUCCGUCUUAGAGCUGGCUGGCUGGUGUUGGCUCUGUUAGACACAGGGGAAGCUUCUAGCAUCUUCUCACAGAAGCCAUCCCUGUAGCCCCCCUCCCCCACUACCAAAACCUUGCCACACAAACCCAAUACAAGUUCUAAACUUUGGUUUCCAAAAUUUUUUAGCCACUAGUAUAUUGUUAUGAGUAUUUGGACUCUUCCUUGCCUGCUUUGACUUGAUAGCACUGCAUUUUCCCAGAAACUAACAUGUAAAUAUCAUUUUAUUAAGUUUAAACAUCUGAGGAUACAGAUGGGCAAACAGUUAUGUCUGUCGAGGAUGGCAUUUUUUCACAGUGGUUUCCAAGGAUGAGUGAUAAUCUCUAAACAUAGUGUUUAUAUGUUUAUUUUGUCCUUCACACUUGUAGUAAUUUUUGCCUAUUAGAAGGACCAAAUUAUUGGAAACAAAUUAAUAUCUUUGUAUAAUUUGGUUAUAUCAACAACACUUUUACUGUUUUUUUCUUGUUUGUUUGAUUUUGUUAAGAUGGCGUGGUUGUCCCUGGAAAAGAGAAAAGCAACAACCUGGAUGUGAAAGUUACUGAGUCAGAAUUGGAAACUGAAGAAAAAGGAACGGAGGAAGAAUCCACAAGGGAAUCUGAUAGCAGCAUUUUGGAUGUAUCAUCUGAUUAUCCAAGAGAGAGACAUAUUUCAAUUCAAAGACAUCUUGCUGAUCUAGAGAAACUAGCUGGCCUGAAAGAAGGUGAGUUUACCAUGGCAGUAUCUGAGACCACAGAUCUUCAUGUUACAGGUAUUUACAUUUUUUCUUAGUUUUUAUUUUUAAUACGCUACAUGUAUUUAUAAUGCUUAGAGACUAGGGGUUUCACAAAAAAUAGGUUUAUGAUUUGUUGCCUUGCUUAUCAAAUGUUGUACUUCCUUCAGUAAAUUCAAGGUCUUAAUGAUUCCUUUCCAUCUUUUUCCUCUGCAUUGUAGCAUUUUUAACAUUGGCAGUGUGCAUGGAUCAGCAAAAUGUUAAUUUUAGCUAUACAUCAGCAGUUUAGUCUCAUUUUUAUUUUGCUUCAAGUGCCAUGAAAACAUGGAACCCAAUUGUUGUCUUUGCAGUGU
rnacentral:lncRNA from 1 species